rnacentral:rRNA from 1 species
AUACGUAGGUGGCAAGCGUUGUCCGGAAUUACUGGGUGUAAAGGGAGCGCAGGCGGGCGUGCAAGUCAGCUGUGAAAUCCAUGGGCUUAACCCGUGGGCUGCAGUUGAAACUGUAUGUCUUGAGUGAAGUAGAGGUAGGCGGAAUUCCGAGUGUAGCGGUAAAAUGCGUAGAUAUUCGGAGGAACACCGGUGGCGAAGGCGGCCUACUGGGCUUUAACUGACGCUGAGGCUCGAAAGCGUGGGGAGCAAACAGGAUUAGAUACCCUGGUAGUCCACACCGUAAACGAUGAGCACUAGGUGUCGGGGGAGCAAUCCUUCGGUGCCGCAGUUAACGCAUUAAGUGCUCCGCCUGGGGAGUACGUACGCAAGUAUGAAACUCAAAUGAAUUGACGGGG